CUAUAAGGGUUCCGUUUUAUGCCAUUUGGCUACGGAACCCUAAAAAGGCAUAAGCAAGGGGGAAGUUUCGUUAGUUGUUCAGAUGAUUAAGUAUUAUGUAACCAAAAAAUAAUAAUUUCAGGUGACUCGGGGUAUGCUCUUGAGCCAUGGCUCAUGACGCCAGUGCUGAAUCCUGCCCCGGGAAGCCCAGAAGCAAGGUACACGGUCUGGCACUGUCGCGUGCGCAACACGAUCAAGCGUACCAAUGGGUACCUCAAAAACGUAUUCCGGUGCCUGGGCCACGACCGCGUCUUACACUACAGCCCGACGAAGGCAUCGUCAAUAAUAAAUGCAUGUUGCGUAGUAUACAACAUAAUGCAACAUUAUAGAAAUGUUCCCGAGGAAAUCGUAGGAGAUAUUGAUGAAGACGCUCCUCAAGAACUUCCUCAUCGUCAUGCGCAAAACGGACUACUAUUAAGAGUGGCGCAGGAAAAGCGUGCGCGUCUAAUAAAUACAUAUUUUGCUUA